rnacentral:lncRNA from 1 species
CGACACAGAGACCUACUGUAGUAGAGUCGAUGACACACAGCGACCUACUGUAGGAGAGUUGAUGACACACAGAGACCUACUGUAGGAGAGUCGAUGACACACAGAGACCUACUGUAGGAGAGUUGAUGACACACAGAGACCUACUGUAGGAGAGUUGAUGACACACAGAGGUCUACUGUAGGAGAGUCGAUGACACACAGAGACCUACUGUAGGAGAGUCGAUGACACAGAGGUCUACUGUAGGAGAGUCGAUGACACACAGGUCUACUGUAGGAGAGUUGAUGACACACAGAGACCUACUGUAGGAGAGUUGAUGACACACAGAGGCCUACUGUAGGAGAGUCGAUGACACACAGAGACCUA